GCCAGGUGCAGUGGCCCAUGCCUGCAAUCCCAGUGACUCGGGAGGCUGAGGCAGGAGGAUUGCAGGUCUGAAGCCAGCCUCAGCAACUUAGUGAGGCUCUUCGCAACCUAGUGAGACCCUGUCUCCA
rnacentral:sRNA from 1 species